UCUCGAAUAGCUCAGUUGGUUAGAGCGCCGUGCUAAUAACGCGGAGGCCCUGGGUUCGACCCCCAGUUUGAGAA
rfam:Enterocytozoon bieneusi H348 SC_2496 genomic scaffold, whole genome shotgun sequence.